GACCUGCGGAGGGAUCAUUAUAGAGUUUCAAAACUCCCAAACCCAUGUGAACAUACCUCUCGUUGCCUCGGCAGGCGCCGUCCUACCCCUCGUAGGCGAAACCUGCCGACGGCCCACGAAACUCUGUUUUUAUAGCAUUAGACUUCUGAAAAAGAUAACUAAAUCAGUUAAAACUUUCAACAACGGAUCUCUUGGUUCUGGCAUCGAUGAAGAACGCAGCGAAAUGCGAUAAGUAAUGUGAAUUGCAGAAUUCAGUGAAUCAUCGAAUCUUUGAACGCACAUUGCGCCCACCAGUAUUCUGGUGGGCAUGCCUGUUCGAGCGUCAUUUCAACCCUUAAGCCCUAGUCGCUUAGCGUUGGGAGCCUACCGGACCCCGUCCCGUAGCUCCCCAAAGUCAGUGGCGGAGCCGGCUUAACACUCCAGACGUAGUAGCUUUUACACAUCGCCUGUAGCCUAAGCCCGGCGCCCUGCCGUAAAACACCCCCCAAUGUAUAGGUUGACCUCGGAUCAGGUAGGAAUACCCGCUGAACUUAAGCAUAUCAAUAG
rnacentral:rRNA from 1 species